rnacentral:rRNA from 1 species
GACGUAGGAUGCAAGCGUUGUCCGGAUUUAUUGGGCGUAAAGAGUUCGUAGGUGGUUCGUUAAGUCUGAUGUUAAAGACCGGGGCUCAACUUCGGGACUGCAUUGGAUACUGGCGGACUUGAGUGUGGUAGAGGCAAUCGGAAUUCCAGGUGUAGCGGUGAAAUGCGUAGAUAUCUGGAAGAACACCGGUGGCGCAAGCGGAUUGCUGGGCCAUAACUGACACUGAGGAACGAAAGCGUGGGGAGCGAACAGG